UACAGAGGGGGCAAGCGUUGUUCGGAAUUACUGGGCGUAAAGGGCUCGUAGGCGGCCAACUAAGUCGGACGUGAAAUCCCCAGGCUCAACCUGGGAACUGCGUCUGAUACUGGAUGGCUUGAAUCCGGGAGAGGGAUGCAGAAUUCCAGGUGUAGCGGUGAAAUGCGUAGAUAUCUGGAGGAAUACCGGUGGCGAAGGCGGCAUCCUGGACCGGCAUUGACGCUGAGGAGCGAAAGCGUGGGGAGCGAACAGG
rnacentral:rRNA from 1 species